ACUUAAAUUGAAGAGUUUGAUCAUGGCUCAGAUUGAACGCUGGCGGCAGGCCUAACACAUGCAAGUCGAGCGGUAGCACAGAGAGCUUGCUCUCGGGUGACGAGCGGCGGACGGGUGAGUAAUGUCUGGGAAACUGCCUGAUGGAGGGGGAUAACUACUGGAAACGGUAGCUAAUACCGCAUAACGUCGCAAGACCAAAGUGGGGGACCUUCGGGCCUCAUGCCAUCAGAUGUGCCCAGAUGGGAUUAGCUAGUAGGUGGGGUAACGGCUCACCUAGGCGACGAUCCCUAGCUGGUCUGAGAGGAUGACCAGCCACACUGGAACUGAGACACGGUCCAGACUCCUACGGGAGGCAGCAGUGGGGAAUAUUGCACAAUGGGCGCAAGCCUGAUGCAGCCAUGCCGCGUGUGUGAAGAAGGCCUUCGGGUUGUAAAGCACUUUCAGCGGGGAGGAAGGCGGUGAGGUUAAUAACCUCAUCGAUUGACGUUACCCGCAGAAGAAGCACCGGCUAACUCCGUGCCAGCAGCCGCGGUAAUACGGAGGGUGCAAGCGUUAAUCGGAAUUACUGGGCGUAAAGCGCACGCAGGCGGUCUGUCAAGUCGGAUGUGAAAUCCCCGGGCUCAACCUGGGAACUGCAUUCGAAACUGGCAGGCUAGAGUCUUGUAGAGGGGGGUAGAAUUCCAGGUGUAGCGGUGAAAUGCGUAGAGAUCUGGAGGAAUACCGGUGGCGAAGGCGGCCCCCUGGACAAAGACUGACGCUCAGGUGCGAAAGCGUGGGGAGCAAACAGGAUUAGAUACCCUGGUAGUCCACGCCGUAAACGAUGUCGAUUUGGAGGUUGUGCCCUUGAGGCGUGGCUUCCGGAGCUAACGCGUUAAAUCGACCGCCUGGGGAGUACGGCCGCAAGGUUAAAACUCAAAUGAAUUGACGGGGGCCCGCACAAGCGGUGGAGCAUGUGGUUUAAUUCGAUGCAACGCGAAGAACCUUACCUGGUCUUGACAUCCACAGAACUUUCCAGAGAUGGAUUGGUGCCUUCGGGAACUGUGAGACAGGUGCUGCAUGGCUGUCGUCAGCUCGUGUUGUGAAAUGUUGGGUUAAGUCCCGCAACGAGCGCAACCCUUAUCCUUUGUUGCCAGCGGUUCGGCCGGGAACUCAAAGGAGACUGCCAGUGAUAAACUGGAGGAAGGUGGGGAUGACGUCAAGUCAUCAUGGCCCUUACGACCAGGGCUACACACGUGCUACAAUGGCAUAUACAAAGAGAAGCGACCUCGCGAGAGCAAGCGGACCUCAUAAAGUAUGUCGUAGUCCGGAUUGGAGUCUGCAACUCGACUCCAUGAAGUCGGAAUCGCUAGUAAUCGUAGAUCAGAAUGCUACGGUGAAUACGUUCCCGGGCCUUGUACACACCGCCCGUCACACCAUGGGAGUGGGUUGCAAAAGAAGUAGGUAGCUUAACCUUCGGGAGGGCGCUUACCACUUUGUGAUUCAUGACUGGGGUGAAGUCGUAACAAGGUAACCGUAGGGGAACCUGCGGUUGGAUCACCUCCUUACCUUAAAGAA
rnacentral:rRNA from 2 species